CCCUUAGAUGUUCUGGGCCGCACGCGCGCCACACUGAUGCAUUCAACGAGUCUAAAACCUGCUCUGAUAGGGGUGGGUAAUCUUUUGAAUGUGCAUCGUGAUUGGGAUAGAUGAUUGCAAUUUUUCAUCUUCAACGAGGAAUGCCUAGUAAACGCAAGUCAUCAGCUUGCAUUGAUUACGUCCCUGCCCUUUGUACACACCGCCCGUCGCUCCUACCGAUUGAAUGAUCCGAUGAAUAUCAUGGAUUGAGGAUGCAAGUAGGUUCGCCUAUCUUCAUCUUCGAGAAGUGAAGUAAAUCUUAUCAUUUAGAGGAAGGAGAAGUCGUAACA
rnacentral:rRNA from 1 species